AUUUUCACGUUAAAUGUAAUAAACAAUUGACUCACAAGCGCACAAACACGUAGAUCAAAGAACACAGAGUGAUCUGACAAGGGAUUCCCCGAGUCGAGACGGAUAAGCAAAUGGCCACGCAUACGAACAGCCUCUGGCUCCUUGCUCGCUACUCCUGUGAAACGGUGUAGCACCAGGGUGCCUGGGUUAUCGUGAACCAUACCGUCACCACCGGUGGUGACGACCAUACCCCUUGUAGAAUAAGUACGCUGCUGCGAAUUAUAUUAAAGACAAUAACUUCAGUUAACAUAGAUCAAAUGAGUAUAUACAUAAGAUUUUUAAUAUAUAUAUAUAUAUUUAAUAAUUGAAAAGCGAGUGCAUUGGAAAGCGCAAGGGGGAAAUACAAACCCUUUUCGAGUUUCCUGGUCACCAGAGAAGACAGCAUUGCUACAGAUAAUACUGGAUAUUUUAAAGGCUGUGGAGUAAGACAGAAUUUGGUGUUUAGUUCUAUAAGAUUUCAUCUUCGACUGUUAUAAUGAAAACAUGAUUCUGUUUACACCACCCCCAUCACGUUAUCAUGGACUCCGAACUUCAACUUACAGGACUGCUAGACUGUAUUAAGUGAUGAAAUUUGGUUUAUUCCAUAUGUUGUUACUCUGAUGAUUACUAGAAAAAUUUCCCUUUUAUGUAAUUAUUUCCGCAAUUUUGUACAUUUAAUGUUUUCUUCAGCAUUUCUAACCUGAAAUCUCACAACGUAUCAACGACUACUUCACACCUCACGUGACAAGGUAACACGCUCUCUCAACAUCUGCAAUCCUGACUUAGGUCUCACUCAUGCAUUCUCCUACUUUCAGCGCUCUAUAGAAACUAACUCAGACAGCCGGAAAAAACGUGCAAAUCCUGCAAGUUAAUCAGCGGGCAUCCAGCGGAACUUGGAGUCAGUGUGUGCGUGUGUCUAGUUAGUAUCGAGUCAGUGUCUCAUCUAGUCAGUCGAUCGAGUUCACAGCCGGGCAGCGAGCGCCGAGAGGGUCGUCGAGUGCAUCUUACUAAAAUUCGAGUUCGUCGAGAGAGUAUGUUAUGCUCCGGGAACGACUGAACCGAAGAGUCGAGAGCUGUGAUGUGUGUGUCGUCGAGUGCAUCGCGAGUUGUAGCGUGGGGAAUCUCAAAAGUACGUGGAGUUCCGAGAACGACCGAGCAGAGUCGG
rnacentral:misc_RNA from 1 species